UACGGAGGGUGCAAGCGUUAUCCGGAUUCACUGGGGUUAAAGGGUGCGUAGGUGGGCAGGUAAGUCCGUGGUGAAAUCUCUGAGCUUAACUCAGAAACUGCCGUGGAUACUAUUUGUCUUGAAUAUUGUGGAGGUGAGCGGAAUAUGUCAUGUAGCGGUGAAAUGCUUAGAUAUGACAUAGAACACCAAUUGCGAAGGCAGCUCACUACACAAUUAUUGACGCUGAGGCACGAAAGCGUGGGGAUCAAACAGG
rnacentral:rRNA from 1 species